rnacentral:rRNA from 1 species
AGGAUGAACGCUAGCGGCAAGCUUAAUACAUGCAAGUCGAGGGGUAACAUGGGUAGCAAUACCUGAUGACGACCGGCAAACGGGUGCGGAACACGUACGCAACCUUCCCAAAACUGGUGAAUAGCCUUUCGAAAGAGAGAUUAAUACACCGUAACAUAACGAAAAGGCAUCUUUUUGUUAUUAUAGUAGCAAUACGGUUUUGGAUGGGCGUGCGCCUGAUUAGCUAGUUGGCGGGGUAACGGCCCACCAAGGCGACGAUCAGUA